UGGGGAAUAUUGGACAAUGGGCGCAAGCCUGAUCCAGCCAUGCCGCGUGAGUGAUGAAGGCCCUAGGGUUGUAAAGCUCUUUCACCGGUGAAGAUAAUGACGGUAACCGGAGAAGAAGCCCCGGCUAACUUCGUGCCAGCAGCCGCGGUAAUACGAAGGGGGCUAGCGUUGUUCGGAUUUACUGGGCGUAAAGCGCACGUAGGCGGACUAUUAAGUCAGGGGUGAAAUCCCGGGGCUCAACCCCGGAACUGCCUUUGAUACUGGUAGUCUUGAGUUCGAGGGAGGGGAGUGGAAUUCCGAGUGUAUAGGUGAAAUUCGUAGAUAUUCGGAGGAACACCAGUGGCGAAGGCGGCUCACUGGCUCGAUACUGACGCUGAGGUGCGAAAGCGUGGGGAGCAAACAGG
rnacentral:rRNA from 1 species